rnacentral:rRNA from 1 species
UAUUACCUGGCCAAGUCGAGCGAACUGAUUAGAAGCUUGCUUCUAUGACGUUAGCGGCGGACGGGUGAGUAACACGUGGGCAACCUGCCUGUAAGACUGGGAUAACUUCGGGAAACCGAAGCUAAUACCGGAUAGGAUCUUCUCCUUCAUGGGAGAUGAUUGAAAGAUGGUUUCGGCUAUCACUUACAGAUGGGCCCGCGGUGCAUUAGCUAGUUGGUGAGGUAACGGCUCACCAAGGCAACGAUGCAUAGCCGACCUGAGAGGGUGAUCGGCCACACUGGGACUGAGACACGGCCCAGACUCCUACGGGAGGCAGCAGUAGGGAAUCUUCCGCAAUGGACGAAAGUCUGACGGAGCAACGCCGCGUGAGUGAUGAAGGCUUUCGGGUCGUAAAACUCUGUUGUUAGGGAAGAACAAGUACAAGAGUAACUGCUUGUACCUUGACGGUACCUAACCAGAAAGCCACGGCUAACUACGUGCCAGCAGCCGCGGUAAUACGUAGGUGGCAAGCGUUAUCCGGAAUUAUUGGGCGUAAAGCGCGCGCAGGCGGUUUCUUAAGUCUGAUGUGAAAGCCCACGGCUCAACCGUGGAGGGUCAUUGGAAACUGGGGAACUUGAGUGCAGAAGAGAAAAGCGGAAUUCCACGUGUAGCGGUGAAAUGCGUAGAGAUGUGGAGGAACACCAGUGGCGAAGGCGGCUUUUUGGUCUGUAACUGACGCUGAGGCGCGAAAGCGUGGGGAGCAAACAGGAUUAAAUACCCUGGUAGUCCACGCCGUAAACGAUGAGUGCUAAGUGUUAGAGGGUUUCCGCCCUUUAGUGCUGCAGCUAACGCAUUAAGCACUCCGCCUGGGGAGUACGGUCGCAAGACUGAAACUCAAAGGAAUUGACGGGGGCCCGCACAAGCGGUGGAGCAUGUGGUUUAAUUCGAAGCAA